GAUGAAGAACGCAGCGAACUGCGAUAAGUAAUGUGAAUUGCAGAAUUCAGUGAAUCAUCGAGUCUUUGAACGCACAUUGCGCCCCCUGGCAUUCCGGGGGGCAUGCCUGUCCGAGCGUCAUUGCUGCCCUUCAAGCCCGGCUUGUGUGUUGGGUCGUCGUCCCCCCCGGGGGACGGGCCCGAAAGGCAGCGGCGGCACCGCGUCCGGUCCUCGAGCGUAUGGGGCUUUGUCACCCGCUCGAUUAGGGCCGGCCGGGCGCCAGCCGGCGUCUCCAACCUUCUAUUUUACCAGGUUGACCUCGGAUCAGGUAGGGAUACCCACUGAACUUAAGCAUAUCAAUAAGCGGAGGA
rnacentral:misc_RNA from 1 species